AUUGAACGCUGGCGGCAUGCUUUACACAUGCAAGUCGAACGGCAGCGCGGGCUUCGGCCUGGCGGCGAGUGGCGAACGGGUGAGUAAUACAUCGGAACGUGCCCAGUAGUGGGGGAUAGCUCGGCGAAAGCCGGAUUAAUACCGCAUACGACCUGAGGGUGAAAGCGGGGGAUCUUCGGACCUCGCGCUAUUGGAGCGGCCGAUGGCAGAUUAGCUAGUUGGUGGGGUAAAGGCCUACCAAGGCGACGAUCUGCAGCUGGUCUGAGAGGACGACCGGCCACACUGGGACUGAGAAACGGCCCAGACUCCUACGGGAGGCAGCAGUGGGGAAUUUUGGACAAUGGGCGAAAGCCUGAUCCAGCAAUGCCGCGUGUGUGAUGAAGGCCUUCGGGUUGUAAAGCACUUUUGGCGGGAACGAAAAGGACUGUGCCAAUACCACGGUUCGAUGACGGUACCCGCAGAAUAAGCACCGGCUAACUACGUG
rnacentral:rRNA from 1 species